rnacentral:lncRNA from 1 species
UCAGUCUGGUCUCGCGCAAUGGGCUGAUGAUAUUUGGUGGAUACAAUUUUAAUGAGGGGGUUUUUCACCUUUGCGAGUGAUUUGGCUUUUUCAAUUAGCAUUACUUUUGCCUUCUUGUUGUUUUAUUGAGGAUUUUGUUGAGCAUUCUCAUGUUAUUUUCGCAGGCUUGCGAGAAGAUUCAUUUGAGGCACUUUUAAUUCAGGUUCUAUCUUAAUACUGUUUUAACUCGACACUUCUAAAUAAUUCUUGUUCUCGUGGUUUUUUAUUAGUCAGUGAUUGAACUAAAAACCAUGGAUUAUUGAUCUUCGAAAGCGAAUUUAUAUAGAGGUGGUUUUACAUCUUCGAUAGUGAUUUUGAUGUAUGAAGUUUCUAUGCUCUUGAUGAGGUAUAUGCCAGUUAUUACUCAUUUUUCGGUUAUGUCUAACUUGGUAGCAUUUUAGGUUAUACCUGUUGGUCUGCUUUCUCGAAUAUAGUCUGUUUAGUAACCAAUGUCUAUUCUACUACCAUUUUAGUCUUGGAAGAUGUUUUAGUUGAGAUGACUCUGUCAUGUGGUUUGAAACAUUCUUUUUUACCUUCAUUUUUUUAAGUCAUUUUUUCUUGGAAGUAUGUUUCACCCUUGUUGACCAUUGCAUUCUUGAUGGCCUGUUUUCUAUUCAGUGGAUGGAAUUGAAGGCCAGCCGAUGACAGGAGUUAAGGCCAAAAGGUUCAAUGCUUGGGAGAGUACUUGCA